GGAAACUACAAUCAUUACGGGAUUUGCCCUAAUUAUCCCUAUUUUCUCUCCCAGCCGCCUGUGGCUUUGAUAUAUCAUAUUUUCGGUUUCUUUUUAUCAUUCUACGCUAUUCUAGACAGAAGAAAACCAUUGGAGACUUUUGUGCUUUUGGAUUGUAAAGGGAGAAGGCUCCAUCUCUCUCACCAUAGAGAAGAUUAUCCUGAACCCUCUUUCUAUCUCUUUUAUUUACAUGAAGUCUUAUUCAGAAUUGAUCUCUGUGUUUUCUCUGUUCAUGGCUGAGUAGUCAAAUUGCUUAGUCUAGGGUGUUCGGGUGUUAGAUCCGUGAGUUAAACAUAGAUAAGUGAAACCAUUGAUUGUCUUCAUUCAUAACUAUUCUUAAUGCUUGCAUUAAUCUGGCCGCUUAAUGUUAGAUCCUAGGUUUAACCUGUUCAUUAACCG
rnacentral:lncRNA from 1 species